rnacentral:rRNA from 1 species
AGAGUUUGAUCCUGGCUCAGGAUGAACGCUAGCGGUGCGCCUAACACAUGCAAGUCGAGCGCGUCUUCGGACGAGCGGCGAACGGGUGAGUAACACGUUGGAACCUGCCUCGAACUCAGGGAUAGCCAUCCGAAAGGAUGAUUAAUACCGGAUAGUCCCGAAAGGGUAAAGAUUUUUCGGUUCGAGAGGGGCCUGCGGCCUAUCAGCUUGUUGGUAGUGUAAUAGACUACCAAGGCUAUGACGGGUAUCUGGUGUGAGAGCAUGACCAGACACAAUGGAACUGAGACACGGUCCAUACUCCUACGGGAGGCAGCAGUGAGGAAUCUUCCGCAAUGGGCGAAAGCCUGACGGAGCGACACCGCGUGAAGGAUGAAGGCCUUUUGGUUGUAAACUUCUUUUCUGGGGGAAUAAAUGAUGAAGGUACCCCAGGAAUAAGCACCGGCUAACUACGUGCCAGCAGCCGCGGUAAUACGUAGGGUGCAAGCGUUAUCCGGAAUUAUUGGGCGUAAAGCGUUCGUAGGCGGUUAAAUAAGUUUGUAGUUAAAUCUGGUCGCUCAACGAUCAACUCGCUACAAAAACUAUUUGACUAGAGAAUAACAGAGGCAACUGGAAUUCCACAUGUAGGGGUAAAAUCCGUUGAUAUGUGGAGGAACACCAAAAGCGAAGGCAGGUUGCUGGGUUAUUUCUGACGCUGAGGAACGAAAGCGUGGGGAGCAGACAGGAUUAGAUACCCUGGUAGUCCACGCCGUAAACGAUGGAUACUCGAUGUAGGGAGGAUUCGACCCCUUUCUGUGUCUAAGCUAACGCGUUAAGUAUCCCGCCUGGGGAGUACGGUCGCAAGAUUAAAACUCAAAGGAAUAGACGGGGACCCACACAAGCGGUGGAGCAUGUGGUUUAAUUCGACAAUAAACGGGGAACCUUACCAGGGCUUGACAUCUCCGGAAGAUCUGAGAAAUCAGAUUGUGCCGUAAGGAACUGGAUGACAGGUGCUGCAUGGUCGUCGUCAGCUCGUGCCUUGAGGUGUUCGGUUAAGUCCGUAAACGAGCGCAACCCAUGUCUUAUGUUGUAUAUUUCAUAAGAGACUGCCGGCUCUAAGUCGGAGGAAGGUAUGGAUGACGUCAGAUCAGCAUGGCCCUUAUGCCCUGGGCUACACACGUGCUACAAUGGCCAGUACAAUGGGUAGCGAACCCGCAAGGGGGAGCCAAUCUCAUCAAAGCUGGUCCAAGUUCGGAUUGGGGGCUGAAAUUCGACCCCAUGAAGUUGGAAUCGCUAGUAAACGCAAAUCAGCUAUGUUGCGUUGAAUAUGUUCCUGGGUCUUGUACUCACCGCCCGUCAAAUCACGAAAGAUGGGAGUGCCCGAAGUCGCCUUAGUCCUACGGGACGGGUGCCUAAGGUAAAUCCAUUGAUUGGGAUUAGGUCGUAACAAGGUA